UUUAUGGGGUGACUGCGUACCUUUUGUAUAAUGGGUCAGCGACUUAUAUUCUGUAGCAAGGUUAACCGAAUAGGGGAGCCGAAGGGAAACCGAGUCUUAACUGGGCGUUAAGUUGCAGGGUAUAGACCCGAAACCCGGUGAUCUAGCCAUGGGCAGGUUGAAGGUUGGGUAACACUAACUGGAGGACCGAACCGACUAAUGUUGAAAAAUUAGCGGAUGACUUGUGGCUGGGGGUGAAAGGCCAAUCAAACCGGGAGAUAGCUGGUUCUCCCCGAAAGCUAUUUAGGUAGCGCCUCGUGAAUUCAUCUCCGGGGGUAGAGCACUGUUUCGGCUAGGGGGUCAUCCCGACUUACCAACCCGAUGCAAACU
rnacentral:rRNA from 1 species